rnacentral:tRNA from 1 species
GUCCGUGUGGCCUAAUGGACAGGGUGUCUGCCUUUUAAGUAGAAAUGUGUGGGGACGCGUCCCGUCACAGGCG